GACGAACGCUGGCGGCGUGCCUAAUACAUGCAAGUAGAACGCUGAAGGAGGAGCUUGCUUCUCUGGAUGAGUUGCCAACGGGUGAGUAACGCGUAGGUAACCUGCCUGGUAGCGGGGGAUAACUAUUGGAAACGAUAGCUAAUACCGCAUAAUAGCAGUUGUUGCAUGACAACUGUUUGAAAGGUGCAAUUGCACCACUACCAGAUGGACCUGCGUUGUAUUAGCUAGUUGGUGGGGUAACGGCUCACCAAGGCGACGAUACAUAGCCGACCUGAGAGGGUGAUCGGCCACACUGGGACUGAGACACGGCCCAGACUCCUACGGGAGGCAGCAGUAGGGAAUCUUCGGCAAUGGACGGAAGUCUGACCGAGCAACGCCGCGUGAGUGAAGAAGGUUUUCGGAUCGUAAAGCUCUGUUGUAAGAGAAGAACGAGUGUGAGAGUGGAAAGUUCACACUGUGACGGUAUCUUACCAGAAAGGGACGGCUAACUACGUG
rnacentral:rRNA from 1 species